UGACAAGGGGGAAUAACAUGGC
rnacentral:misc_RNA from 1 species